UUGCAAUUGCAGAUGAAGCUUCCUUGGGGAGCAAUUCCCAGCAUGGUGCUAUCAUUCGGUGGGACGGAGUUUGUCGUGCUGACAGUCAAAAGGUGGAGGAAAAAAAAAAUCCAGUUCCUUGAAACAGCUGGGAAGAAUAGAAGGAGUGAACCAGAAGAGGCUACCACCGCCACUGUCCACCCCUCCUGAUUUCCAGAUCUGGCUGUCCAGAUUUCCUUCGGCAUCGCAGCCGGAGCACUGACCGAGCGAUGAGGCUACAUUGGGAUGAGGGCAUCAACCCAGCUGUUUUUUUUUUUGGUGCUUCCUACCACUCCCUCUUUGGAGUUUCUGGUUUCAGCCGCGAGGGAGAAACAGGUUUUAAGGAGGAGGUUUGGCCCAGCCGCUGGUUUGAAAAGGAGAAAUUCAAGCUUGCCGAUGGGCGUGGGGAGGGUGGAGCAAAGGAAAGUUUCGGUGUUCGGCAAGAGGCGAAACCACGUUUCUGAAGGUGUAACUUUCUUUUUUUUUUUUUUUUUUUGCAAAAAGUUUUUUUAUUUUUUAAACAAACACAACAUAAAAACAUCGUCCUUCCAAAACAAUCACGGACAGUGUUUCAUCGGUUAAAAUUCAUUUCGUGCUCUCAAAGAAUUUUCACAGUGUCAUUAUAUGACAAAUGUUCUUUUCCUCUAGCAGAAAACAAAUAUUUAAACAUUUUAUCCAAAUUUCAUGACCAAAUUUCAUGAUCCUGACCAAAAUGGAUUCCUGCCAAAAAGACAAAUUAGAGACAAUAUAAGAAUAAUUUUGGAUACCUUAGAAUAUUAUGAAGCUCAUCCUGAAAAGCAGAUGGCUUUGAUAUUUCUAGAUGCACAAAAAGCCUUUGAUAAUGUGAAUUGGCGAUUUAUGAUGUUACAAAUGGAGGAGAUGGGCUUUGGAAAGAAAUUUCUUCAGGCAAUUGAAGCUAUAUACUCUAAACAAAAGGCGAAGGUUAUGAUAAAUGGAGAACUGUCUGAUUUUAUUGAAGGUGUAACUAUUUCUUAUGGAGGGAGCUUAAUUUCGGGGUUAAAUCUCCCCGUGCUCUGCGAACAGAUCUCAGAUAUGGCUUUGGAGAGUGACUUUGGGUAGAAAAGGCUAUCGUAGGCAAGCCCCAUCCUUUCUGAGAACCAUGAGGACUGGAAACUUACUGCCGUUCCAAAUGAAUUUAUUUAUUCAA